CGGAGGGUGCAAGCGUUGUCCGGAUUUAUUGGGUUUAAAGGGUGCGUAGGCGGCCGAUUAAGUCUGGGGUGAAAGCCCGUUGCUCAACAACGGAACUGCCCUGGAAACUGGUUGGCUUGAGUACAGACGAGGGCGGCGGAAUGGAUGCUGUAGCGGUGAAAUGCAUAGAUAGCAUCCAGAACCCCGAUUGCGAAGGCAGCUGCCUAGACUGUUACUGACGCUGAGGCACGAAAGCGUGGGGAGCGAACAGGAUUAGAUACCCUGGUAGUCCACGCCGUAAACGAUGGAUACUCGCUGCCGGCGAUACAAUGUCGGUGGCUUAGCGAAAGCGUUAAGUAUCCCACCUGGGGAGUACGCCCGCAAGGGUG
rnacentral:rRNA from 1 species